rnacentral:rRNA from 1 species
AGAGUUUGAUCAUGGCUCAGAAUGAACGCUGGCGGCAGGCCUAACACAUGCAAGUCGAACGGAUCCUUCGGGAUUAGUGGCGGACGGGUGAGUAACGCGUGGGAACAUACCCUUUGGCACGGAAUAGCCUCGGGAAACUGGGAGUAAUACCGUAUGUGCCCUUCGGGGGAAAGAUUUAUCGCCAAAGGAUUGGCCCGCGUUGGAUUAGGUAGUUGGUGGGGUAAUGGCCUACCAAGCCGACGAUCCAUAGCUGGUUUGAGAGGAUGAUCAGCCACACUGGGACUGAGACACGGCCCAGACUCCUACGGGAGGCAGCAGUGGGGAAUCUUAGACAAUGGGGGAAACCCUGAUCUAGCCAUGCCGCGUGAUCGAUGAAGGCCUUAGGGUUGUAAAGAUCUUUCAGUUGGGAAGAUAAUGACGGUACCAACAGAAGAG